AGGAUUAUACUGAGCAACUAGAGAGCUACAAGAAACUGUACGAGAAAAAAGAGAUGCCAAAGUUAAUAAUAAAAGAGGUAAUUUAUAUAUUUUUUAGAUAUCCUGAUUGAAAAUGCAUCAGAUAUGCGAAUUACUUUCUUGAGAGAAGGAUUGUAAUAAGGCCCUUUUAAAGUCACAUGGUCUAUACAUUAUAUCUCUGAUUCCUAGCUUGAUUCUGUCAAAUUCUUUGAAAUUAUGCCCUGCCCUAUUUUCUGCUGUAAAUGAGAGCAACAGCUCAGUUUCUCCUACAUGGUAUCUUCAAAGAUGGUCGACAUGUGGCUGUGUUUGGUUUCCGGAAUCUGAAUUCUGGGGCAAGAGGGAACUGGCGAGAUUUCAGGCAGAGAGUAGAAGACUCGAAAAAGGAAUGGUGGUGGGGCUGGGAAGACAGAUUUUAGGAUAAAUGAUCUGGACUUCAAUAAUACUACUUUUUGUUUGUAUUAUAGGAUAAAUUCUAGAUCUGCAAUCAGAUUUCUGUAUUUUAUGGCUAAAGGCAGUUACUUACACUUUCCAGCGAUUAUAAGUUCCUGAAACCAAAAACAGCUUCAGUGGUAUAACAUUUGUCAUUCAGCAAACUAUUGCUCCCAUUUGCAGAGUAAUGCAUUGACCAUAUCAUUUCCAUGCAUAUUGGUUUUUUUUAUAUUAUGGUUACCUGCAGCUUGGUAUUAUUAUUAUAGCAAGCUUAAACUGUUUUGUUCUUCUUAAUCAGGUUUCGGAUGCUCGUCAAGAUAUUUCUCAAUUAGGUGAUAAUGAUGUGGAUUUGCUACGGAAAAUGGUUUCUGAUUUGGUGAGUUUGUCAACUCUACUACUACCACCUCUUCGUUUAUAGUGUUUCUAGAAUAUUUUUCCAGCACUAAUAGGAUCAUAGCAAUUCUGAAUUUCAAUGAAUGUUUUUUUCUUAAUUUUUCCAUCCCUUGUGAGGAUGUGAAUACAAAGGUAAAUUGCGGAUUUGUAUGAACAAGGAAUACAUAGGUAAUGGUAAAUACAGUUAAUCGACCGACAUUGUCUUACCCCUCACUGUUUGGAUUUGUGUUUUGGUAUAUCAACUUUGACUGGAAGCCAACCAGUUUCCUGCAUUACACUUUGCAUGUAAACCAUUAUUUCCAAUCUGAUCUUUUGUUCACUAAGUGUUAUAUUAAUUCCUUCGAUUAUCAUUGCCAAAUACAGAACAUUCAAUCGGUUGCUUCUGACAUAAAUGUUCCCUUUUACCAGGUUGGAAUAGUAUCAGAAGUGUCAAUUACUGAUCGCGAUCAAGAAUAUUCAAAUUUCCUAUAUAAUUUAGUGAUAGAAGAAGGAUGUGAUUUUGAUGAGGACUUCUUGGGAGAAGUUUUUGAUCUCUUAAACGAGGACCAUGUUGUGGCAAGAGGGUUUAUUUCUAAAAGUUCAAAUAUGCGAAAGAAGUGGUUGACGGAAUUUGUUAAGAGACAUCGUGAUGUUGCAUGUAAGAAUUUACAAUGAGGUUCAUUAUAAUAUACAGUAUGUUGAUCGAAGUUGGAAGUCAAAACCUUUGCUCAUACAGUGAACUCAUACAGUAAGAAUUUAAUGUGGUUGAUU
rnacentral:lncRNA from 1 species